rnacentral:rRNA from 1 species
UGGGCUCGAAAUGUUGUGGACCGGGGUAGAAAUAUCCCUUCCCCGCAAGGGGCCGCAAUAUAGGUGCUGCAUGGCUGUCGUCAGCUCGUGUCGUGAGACGUUGGGUUAAGUCCCGCAACGAGCGCAACCCUUAUCCCCAGUUGCCAUCCUUCAGUUGGGCACUCUGGUGAAACCGCCUCGGAUAACGGGGAGGAAGGUGGGGAUGACGUCAAGUCCUCAUGGCCUUUAUGUCCAGGGCUACACACGUGCUACAAUGGCCGGUACAAACCGUCGCAAACCCGCGAGGGGGAGCUAAUCGGAAAAAGCCGGCCUCAGUUCGGAUUGCAGUCUGCAACUCGACUGCAUGAAGCUGGAAUCGCUAGUAAUCGCGGAUCAGAAUGCCGCGGUGAAUACGUUCCCGGGCCUUGUACACACCGCCCGUCACAUCACGAAAGUGGGUUGCACUAGAAGCCGGUGAGCUAACCGCAAGGAAGCAGCCGUCCAAGGUGUAAUUCAUGAUUGGGGUGAAGUCGUAACAAGGUAGCCGUAGGAGAACCUGCGGCUGGA